GUUCUCUUCUCACCUUCAGUCUCAGCCUCCAUUCCAGUCCCUCUCAGCUCUCACAGCCUCCACUCCACGCCGGCUUCCACGAAAAUCUGCCUCUGUGCCGCCUCCGCACGCCGGCUUCCAAGCAAAUCUGCCUCUGCGCCGCCUCGAUCUGCCGAUCUGCCGCCGCCUUCACACGCUGGCCUCCACAUGAAUCUGCCUUUGCCGCGACCUCGAUCUACCUCUGCCACCGCCUCCACACGAAUCGGCCUCUGUCGCCACCUCCACACGCCGGCCUCCCCACGCCGGCUUGGUCUUUUCAUUCUCAGUUUCUCACGUGGCGGUGGUUGCUAGCUUGGACUAGAGUUGGAGCCAGAGCCGGAGCUGGAGCUUGGAAUGGAGCAGAAGACCGCGAACUCACAAUGAUGGUGACAUAACA